AAAAAAAACCCUGUUUCUCCAACCCAUUCUUGUGCAACAACUACAUAUCAUAAAAUCUACUUCUAAAUUGGUAUCUAGUGAUCCUAGCUUCAAAGGGCUCUCCAAAAAUUGUCAAUUCUCACACUAGUAUUGCUAGUGCUAGCAGCAGGUUCUGAUGCUGGUGGAAUAGCUAUCUACUGGGGUCAGAAUGAAAAUGAGGGGACCUUGGCAGAGACUUGUGCCACAGGUAACUAUGAUUAUGUGAACAUAGCUUUUCCGUCAUCUUUUGGCAAUGGUCAGACUCCCACAAUAAACCAUGCUGGUCAUUGCAGUCCGGACAGUAAUGGCUGCACAGGGUUGAGUUCUGAUAUAAAAUCAUGUCAGUCCAAAGAUGUUAAAGUGAUACUUUCUAUUGGAGGAGGUGCCGGCAGUUACUCUCUAGCCUCUGUUGAUGAUGCUAGGCGAGUUGCGACGUACCUCUGGAACAACUUUUUGGGUGGAAAAUCUUCAUCUCGUCCUCUUGGCCCUGCUGUUCUUGAUGGAAUUGACUUUGACAUUGAA
rnacentral:misc_RNA from 1 species